UGGGGAAUAUUGCACAAUGGGCGCAAGCCUGAUGCAGCCAUGCCGCGUGUAUGAAGAAGGCCUUCGGGUUGUAAAGUACUUUCAGUCGGGAGGAAGGUGGUAAGGUUAAUAACCUUGGCAAUUGACGUUACCGACAGAAGAAGCACCGGCUAACUCCGUGCCAGCAGCCGCGGUAAUACGGAGGGUGCAAGCGUUAAUCGGAAUUACUGGGCGUAAAGCGCACGCAGGCGGUUGAUUGAGUCAGAUGUGAAAUCCCCGGGCUUAACCCGGGAAUUGCAUCUGAUACUGGUCAGCUAGAGUCUUGUAGAGGGGGGUAGAAUUCCAUGUGUAGCGGUGAAAUGCGUAGAGAUGUGGAGGAAUACCGGUGGAGAAGGCGGCCCCCUGGACAAAGACUGACGCUCAGGUGCGAAAGCGUGGGGAGCAAACAGG
rnacentral:rRNA from 1 species